GAUGAACGCUAGCUACAGGCUUAACACAUGCAAGUCGAGGGGCAGCGCAGUGUAGCAAUACAUGGGCGGCGACCGGCGCACGGGUGCGUAACGCGUAUCCAACCUUCCCGUUACUCAGGGAUAGCCUUCCGAAAGGGAGAUUAAUACCUGAUGGUGUUCAAAUUCCGCAUGUUAUUUGAACUAAAGAUUUAUCGGUAACGGAUGGGGAUGCGUGACAUUAGAUAGUAGGCGGGGUAACGGCCCACCUAGUCUACGAUGUCUAGGGGUUCCGAGAGGAAGGUCCCCCACACUGGAACUGAGACACGGUCCAGACUCCUACGGGAGGCAGCAGUGAGGAAUAUUGGUCAAUGGUCGGAAGACUGAACCAGCCAAGUAGCGUGAAGGAUGAAGGUUCUAUGGAUUGUAAACUUCUCUUAUACGGGAAUAAAACCUCCCACGUGUGGGAGCUUGUAUGUACCGUAUGAAUAAGCAUCGGCUAACUCCGUGCCAGCCGCCGCCGUAAGAC
rnacentral:rRNA from 1 species